UGCUAACAUGUCCUUCCCUCUCCACUCUAACCGGAGCGGUCAGGAGAUAAGGGGAUAGGUGAUCAUCGCGCUCCACUUUGGUCAUUGCAGAAUUAGCUAUAAUUUACGCAGAAGACCGUUGUCAGACUGACUAGAGACUCACUCUGCUCCGCUAGUUAUUUUUAUGUUGGCAUCGUGUUUUUUCUCGUACUCGUUAAUGUUGACAAAUUGAGAACAGCGGCAUUCCCAGUGUUUUGGAUUGUGCGUGGGGACCGUCUCUGCUUCUAAUCGACCCUCGCAACCCAUUGGAUCUCGAUAAAUACUUGCUACAAAGACAACGUUGAACCACGUUACCCAUAACAAAAUGAAUAGCAGCACGAUUGAAAAGGAGAGCGAGUCAAAUGAGUUCAAUAACCACGAAGAAGAGGUCCGAACACUAUUUGUCAGUGGGUUGCCGUUGGAUAUCAAGCCCAGAGAACUGUACCUCUUAUUUAGACCAUUUAAGGGUUAUGAAGGAUCCUUGAUCAAACUCACCUCCAAACAGCCAGUUGGGUUUGUCAGUUUUGACAGCCGAUCAGAGGCAGAGGCGGCGAAGAACGCUCUGAACGGUGUCCGUUUCGACCCGGAAAUCCCUCAGACGUUGCGGCUGGAGUUUGCCAAGGCCAACACCAAGAUGGCCAAGAACAAGCUGGUGGGCACUCCCAACCCCCCUCUGUCCCAGCAGAGUCCCGGCCCCCAGUUCAUCAGCAGGGACCCCUAUUCGUUGGCUCCCUCCUGCAGACGCCGCCCCCCAGGGAUGGAAGUCCAGGCAGUUCUGCUGAAAUCUGGGGUUCUGAUGUGUGAUGGGGGCGUACGUUGGUCUUGAAGGUGUUGAUGGGACUUCCGGAGUCCAGGAGGACGUUGGCAACACUGUGGACCGACGGCAACAACAUCUCUCUGAGCCUCAGGACCUUCAAGACCUCUGCCUCAAUCACACAUGCACCCUCCAGAGUAACCCCCCCCUUUCUCUUUUAUACUGUUACAUACUAGAAAUCUUCUGUUAGAAUUAUUGCUGUUGUUAUGAUAGUCAUUACUAUACGUGGAAGCAUGAUUUGCCAAAUAAAAUGCUGUACAUUUUAAAAUAUUUUGAAGAAAAAUACAAGUAUUUUUGUAUCAAGAAAAUGUUCCAACUUUUUUUGGUCACUGUAUUUUGAGUGUGUGAAGAUCCAUAUUUAAAAAGCAAAAGGUUUCCUCCUAUUUUUCUGGAGUUAGUCAGGGUGACAUCAGCUGUACAAGGGACAAUCACUGACAAACCAGGGUACAAACAGUAUGAGAAUUCAGUGAAUCAGGGGUGGUGAAGCAUGAUCUGCACACCAUGCCAUGUGGAUUUUAUAAACUCUUUCUGGGAUGCCAGUGUGGCAUCUUGGUUCACCUUGUAGCCAGGAGGUUCUAGGUUCAAGUCCCAGAUG